GAGGGUAUAGCUCGGUGGUAGAGUGCAUGCCUAGCAUGCAUGAGGUCCUGGGUUCAAUCCCCAGCACCUCCA
rnacentral:tRNA from 1 species